CUGAAAACCAUACAUUUCACACCUGAGCCUCAACUCUCGCGGCCCGGUACCAAACGACUCACGGACCGGUACCGGUCCGAGGCCCGGGGGUUGGGGACCGCUGCUCUAAUCUGUAUCAGCAUUUAACUGAUCACAUUUUUCCAUAAAGCCGGAAUUUUAUGUAUUACUGUGCAUUGUUCUGGCUAAAACUUUAAGGCAGACAUCCAGGCCACCCUUGUCCAUAUCAGUACUGCAGAAAUUGUGUAGUGUUAUAAUGUUAUUGUGCAGGAAUCUGCAUGUAAGGGGUUAGUGUUUACAUGGUGUCAAUUUCCUGUUUCUUGCACCACUUCUCUGGAGAUUCCAAAGAACUGAAACCCUGACACACAAUCCCACACUCACAAACAAAGCCUUCCUUAAACGUUUCAUUUGAGUCAGCUUUAAAGGAAACCUGCAUAUCAGUUGAAGUGAGAAAUCUUCCUGCUGCUGUCCACUUUGGGCGAGAACUACACUGCUGUUUCAAAUUGAGUGAGGGAAUUCCAGUGAAACUUGGUUAUUUAAUUUCCACACUGCCUGCUCUCACAACAUGGAUCUUAUCUUCGUCUUCCCACUGAUACUUGCACUGAUUUCCUGUGGACAGAGUCACACUGAGGGGACUGAACAAACUAAUGGUUCAUGUUACAACUUAUGCCCAGCUGGAUAUCAUAAAGUUGGUAACUGUGAUGAUCAAGUUAAAAAGUACAAAUGCAAGAAAUGUGAGGUUGGCUUCUACACAGACAUAGAAAACUACAUAGAGAAAUGCCUUAGGUGUGACUUAUGUAAUCAUGAUGAGAUGGUACUAAGGCCCUGCUCCUUUAAUAGCAACAUAGUGUGUGCCUGUAAACAUGGAUACUACAAUUUAGGGUCUGACCAUCUGAGGGAAUGCAUGAAAUGUUCCUGUAGAACAUGUCCAAAGAACGAUGACUACAGAAGGAAGUGUCUGAAGCAGAAGAUUGGGACAGACAAAACAUAUCAACUGUGACAAGAACACAGGACAACAAAUCAAUCAGAAAUAAUAUAGAAUGCAUAUAUUUACUGCGGUGAUAGCUUACAGUGUAUAUCAGCACCAUUAUCAAAUCUAAACACAGUGUCUGGCUUAUAAAAUGUGCUCAUGUAUGUGUAAACCACAUUGUUAUUACUGAGUUUCGGUAGAAUUGCACGACUAGAUGUGUCAUAAUCGCUGUUUGGUUCCAGGGUUUUGAGUUGAAGAUUGAUUUUUUAAAUUUUUGGUAUUUUUAUUUAUAUUUUUGUUCUGUGUUUAGGGUUUGUUUUCAAUUUACUCUGUUGUGGAUUUUCAGUUAUUUUUUAGUAUUUUGAGUCUCCAGAUCUGGUUAAAUUGUCAGGAUCCCUGGGUUUUCCCUUGUCUAGUUCCCCUUUGACUCGUUAUCUUGUAAAUAUUUAUUGUCUGCGUCAUCCACUGUUCAUUAUCACACGCUCCCUCACAGACGUGUGCUCCUUGCUGGGUGUUUCCCAAAUUCCCUAAAAGUGGUUUUUCCAGUGGUUCGUUUUGAACUUGUUUUAACUGCCACCAGUAGAGAUUUUAUUUUAUUUUCCAUUUCUCUAGUCCUGCACAGCACUACAUUAUAUAACUUUCUUUCUUUUCUUUUUCUUUUUAAUGGUUUGUUUCUGCCACUGGAAAGUACCUUUUUUAUCAUAAGUCAAAAUUUUGGGUUUUUAUCUGAAAGCUCUGACUUAAAAACCUCAAAAUAUUGAGUUAUUUUCUCCAUUUUUGAGUUAUUGUCUCAGAAAUUUGAUUUAUGAAGUUUAGAUUUUGAGAUAAUCUGAAAUUCGCUGUUCCAAGGAUUUCCACACUUCAUCAGUGCCCUCGCUCAUCCACUAAUCAUUUGGUGGUAAUUUGGUACUUACUUGUGUCUGGUUUCAUUUGUUUAGUUGCAUUUCCUCCCCUAUCACAAUCUAGAUUAAGCUCACCUGCAUAAAAAUGUGUAUAAAUAUCCCUGCCUUUGUUCUUUACCAUCUUGUACUGUUUAGUCUUCUUUAUGUUGGGGCUUCUCUUCGUUCUUGUCCUUGUUUUGGAUUAACAAUUAACAAUAACCGCUUUUGGAGUUUUUCUCACUGUUUGUUUAGAUUACAGCUAGAUUACAACACUCGUUCUUUGUUUAUUGAAACUCAGUCUCUGUCUUGUGUUUUGAGUCUAUAUGGAUCAAUAAGUGUAUGUGCUCAUAUGAUCUCAUUUUGUUUCCUGUUUCUUGCAUCACUUGUCUGAAGACAAAACAGAAUUGAAAGUCCCGAGGCCGAAAACAUGCAAUAACACACUCAUACAAAUAAACCUGUCCUUAAACUACAGGUUUGAGUCAGCUUCAAAAGAAACCCAU
ensembl:lncRNA